rnacentral:rRNA from 1 species
GGGCGUAAAGCGUGCGUAGGUGGUUCAAUAAGUUAUCUGUGAAAUCCCUGGGCUCAACCUGGGCAGGUCAGAUAAUACUGUUGGACUCGAGUAUGGGAGAGGGUAGUGGAAUUUCCGGUGUAGCGGUGAAAUGCGUAGAGAUCGGAAGGAACACCAGUGGCGAAGGCGGCUACCUGGCCUAAUACUGACACUGAGGCACGAAAGCGUGGGGAGCAAACAGGAUUAGAUACCCUGGUAGUCCACGCUGUAAACGAUGUCAACUAGCUGUUGGUUAUAUGAAAAUAAUUAGUGGCGCAGCAAACGCGAUAAGUUGACCGCCUGGGGAGUACGGUCGCAAGAUUAAAACU